ACAAAAGCGCAUUAACCGAAGACUCCGAGACGCGUCGAAAAUGGUGGGGUCGUUUAGACCCAAAACGACAAGAGAACAGUGUCGUCGGGAAUGAUGCAUUUGGCAAAUUCAUAUAGCGAGGAAAGGAGGGACCAUAAACAUUUGAAAUCUGAAAUCAAGUUUAGCGCUUCUUCUAAUGUCAACCAAAAUGCGUGAAGAUUCCAACACCACCUCUAAAACCCUAAACCCUCAAACCUGUUGAGACUCUCUCCCAUGUCUAAGACUCUUCUCUCUCGCAUCAAACCCCUUCACAGCCGCAAACCCACUUGUCCAUCUUCCUGUUCACCACCCCACGUCAAGAAGCUAGUCUAUGACACCAUCCGGAUUCUCACAACAGAUGAUAAAUGGGAGCAAUCCCUCGAAACCGAAUUCUCCGAAACCGAAACCCUUGUUUCUGAAGUUGCCCAUUUCGUUUUGGACAGAAUACCCAGUGCAGAGUUGGGUUUGAAGUUCUUUGACUGGGCUUUCCGGCGACCCUAUUGCUGCUCUCCAAAUGGGUCGGCGUAUUCUUCACUCUUGAAGCUUUUGGCGAGGUUUGGAGUGGUUGCGGAGAUUGAGUUGGUGCUGCAGACUAUGAGGUUGGAACAAGUGGAGCCGAGUAAGGAGGCUUUGAGCUUUGUGAUUCGAGUUUACGCGGAUUCUGGGUUCGUCGAUAAGGCUCUUGAAUUGUAUAGUUUUGGGGUGAAGGUGUGUGGUUUUGUUCCGAGUGUUUUCGCAUGCAAUUCCUUGCUUAACACGCUUGUGAAGAUUGGGAGAGUUGAUGUUGCACGCCAGGUGUAUGAUGAAAUGUCUGAGAAAGGUGGUGGGGAUGGUGAGCAUGUGUGUAUAGAUAACUACAGUACUUGUAUAAUGGUGAGGGGGUUGUGUAAGGAAGGGAAGGUUGAAGAAGGGAGAAGGUUGAUUGAGGAGAGGUGGGGAGAGAGUUGUGUGCCGAAUGUUGUCUUCUACAAUACGCUUAUUGAUGGAUAUUGUAAGAGAGGUGAGGUUGAAAAUGCUAAUGGGAUGUUUAAGGAGUUGAAAUUGAAGGGGUUUCUGCCAACAUUGCAAACAUAUGGAGCUUUGAUUAAUGGGUAUUGCAAAGCAGGGAACUUUGUAGCGAUUGAUAGGCUUUUGAUGGAAAUGAAGGAGAGAGGUUUGAGGGUCAAUGUACAGGUACAUAAUACUAUAGUUGAGGCUAGAUGUAAGCACGAUAGCUGUGCAACCGCGGUUGAUACUGUAGCAAGGAUGAUUGAGAGUGGUUGUGAGCCGGAUAUUACAACCUAUAAUAUUUUGAUUAAUAGUUCAUGUAAGAAAGGGAAGGUUGAGGAAGCGGAGGAGUUUCUACAGCAUGCAAUGAAGAGGGGAUUGGUUCCGAAUGAGUUUAGUUAUACUCCUGUUUUUCAAGUCUAUUGCAGACGAGGGGAACACUGUAGGGCCCUGGAUUUGCUUGUUGAGAUGACAAAAAGAGGUCACAAACCUGAUUUGGUUGCCUUUGGAGCUUUGAUUCAUGGACAUGUUGUUUCUGGGGAAGUUGAUUAUGCAUUGACAGUCCGGGACAGAAUGAUAGAAAAUGGAAUACUCCCUGAUGCUUGCAUUUACAAUGUGUUGAUGAGUGGCCUUUGCAAGAAAGGGAGGCUUCCUACUGCCAAACUGCUGCUUGGUCAGAUGCUUGACCAAAAUGUACUACCUGAUGCAUUUGUCUACGCCACAUUGGUAGAUGGGUUAAUCAGAAAUGGGAACCUUGAGGAGGCUAAAAAUAUAUUCGAGUUAACAAUUGAAAAGGGCCUAGAUCCUGGUGUUGUGGGGUACAAUGCUAUGAUCAAGGGUUUCUGCAAAUUUGGAACAAUGAAUGAUGCACUGUCAUUCCUCGAAAAGAUGAAGAAAAGGAAUCAUCAUCCUGAUGGGUUUACUUACUCCACAAUAAUUGAUGGGUAUGUCAAGCAGCAUAAUUUGGAUGCUGCACUAGAAAUGUUUAAACAGAUGGUGAAACAGAGAUGCAGGCCAAAUGUCAUUACGUACACCUCCUUGAUCAAUGGGUUUUGCCGCAAAGGAGAUUCUGAUGGAGCUGUAAAAACUUUCGUAGAGAUGCAAUCUCGUGGUGUGGAGCCAAAUAUAGUCACGUACAGCAUACUUAUUGGAAACUUUUGCAAGGAAGGUAAACUUGCAAAAGCAGCCUCCUUUUUUGAACUAAUGCUGAGGAAGAAGUGCAGUCCUAAUGAUGUCACUAUCCAUUAUUUGCUAAAUGGGUUUACAAACAUUGCACCUGCUGCAAUUUCAAAGGAAGUGAAUGAAUCUCAAGAAAAGGAGAAAUCUAUUUUUCUUGAUUUCUAUAAAAGGAUGAUAGCUGAUGGAUGGUUUCAGAAGUCUGCUGUCUAUAAUUCCAUUCUCAUUUGUCUUUGUCAGUAUGGAAUGGUUGAAACUGCAUUACAGUUUAACAGUAAGUUUAGAAGUAAAGGUAUUGAUCUAGAUUCUGUUUCUUUUGCGGCUGUGCUACAUGGUCUUUUCUUGGGAGGAAGAUCAAAGGACUGGAAGAAUAUCAUUUAUUUUAACUUGAAGGAAAAAGAACUCCAAACUGCUGUCAAAUACUCGCAUAUAAUAGAUGCACAGUUCCAUGGAGGAAGAAUAUCUGAAGCUACACUUGCUUUACGGUCAUUAGUUGAAGAUGAUAAGCCUCAACAUCAAGAAGUGGGAGACAGAGAAAGAUAGAGGAAGACGAUCAUCUUUCUUCACAAGUGACUGUCAGUUGAGCUCUCAGAUGUGACUGUGGUCUUGUUUCUGCUAGUUGCAUCUGGUAUGAAUCCUUUGGUAAGGAAGAAGUAUGGGCAAUAUUACUGAAAUGCAAUGAGCGGUUCAACAGGUUCCAGCUCUUAAUCAUAUAUUCAGCAAAUGGCUGGAUAAUCAUGCCUUAAAUAUGAAUCCUUUUUCUAUGGGACAUGUGGGCAAGGGCUUGAUAAGUUCUUCAAAUCUCGAAGUUGCAGAAGAAAUUGAAAUCUAAAGCUUGAAACCCCAUAAACGAAAAGAUGUCGGUUGAGAAGAAAAUGAUAACGAGAUAGAGCUUUGACGGAGCUAGACAAGUUCGAGAUUGAGGAGGCAGUGGGCCCGGAAUUGCAGACAAUUAAGCAAAUGGUGGAAGAUGGUUGCGCUGAGAAUGCAAUUUCUUUGCUGAUCUUGGCCAGUAGCAUUCUAGGCAAGGUUCUCAAGUACUGCAAGAAGCACAUAGAUGACAAGGAGGGUGAUCCUAAGACUUGGGACACCAAUUACAUAAAGGUGGACCAUAACUAACUGUUUUGCUGAUUUGCUCUCAUCUUGGAAGCAAACUAUCUUAGCAAUGCUGGGCUGCUGGAUUUGACAUGUCAGACUGUGGCGAACAUGAUCAAGGGUAUGAUUCCUAGAGAGAUUCACAAGACUUUCAACAUCAAGAAUGACUUCACUCCUGAGGGAAGAAGAGGUUCCUAAGGAGAACCAAUAGAUUUUCUGAAGUGAACUAUGAAGCCAAGGGCGGGUGUCAUAGGCUUAUGUUUUUAUAUUUUGACAAUGAAACUGUGUUGUUAUGUAAUCUCAGCAAACCUCUAUCAUGCACCAAGUUUCAACGGGCAAGUAGUAUUUAUCCAUC